UCCGGUUUGUCACCGGCAGUCAUCCUAGAGUGCCCAUCAUCACAUGCUGGCAACUAAGAUCAAGGGUUGCGCUCGUUGCGGGACUUAACCCAACAUCUCACGACACGAGCUGACGACAACCAUGCACCACCUGUCUCCGAUGCUCCGAAGAGGGGCAUCAUCUCUGAUGCUUUCACCGGGAUGUCAAGACCUGGUAAGGUUCUUCGCGUUGCUUCGAAUUAAACCACAUACUCCACUGCUUGUGCGGGUCCCCGUCAAUUCCUUUGAGUUUCAGUCUUGCGACCGUACUCCCCAGGCGGAAUGCUUAAUGUGUUUACUUCGGCACCAAGGGUAUCGAAACCCCUAACACCUAGCAUUCAUCGUUUACGGCGUGGACUAC
rnacentral:misc_RNA from 1 species